rnacentral:tRNA from 1 species
GGGCCCGACACGGCGUAACGAGAACUGCUAAUUACUCGUAACCUUGGUUCAACUCCAAGGCAGGCCCG